rnacentral:rRNA from 1 species
UACGUAGGGGGCAAGCGUUGUCCGGAAUUAUUGGGCGUAAAGAGCGUGUAGGCGGUCCGGUAAGUCAGCUGUGAAAGUCAAGGGCUCAACCCUUGAAUGCCGGUUGAUACUGUCGGGCUAGAGUCCGGAAGAGGCGAGUGGAAUUCCCGGUGUAGCGGUGAAAUGCGGCAGAUAUCGGGAGGAAUACCGGUGGCGAAGGCGGUCAUCCGUGGACCGGCAUUGACGCUGAGGA